GGGUUAAGUCCCGCAACGAGCGCAACCCUUGUCAUUAGUUGCUACGAAAGGGCGCUCUAAUGAGACUGCCGGUGACAAACCGGAGGAAGGUGGGGAUGACGUCAAGUCCUCAUGGCCCCUAUAGGUGGGGCUACACACGUCAUACAAUGGCUGGUACAGAGGGUUGCCAACCCGCGAGGGGGAGCUAAUCCCAUAAAACCAGUCGUAGUCCGGAUCGCAGUCUGCAACUCGACUGCGUGAAGUCGGAAUCGCUAGUAAUCGCGGAUCAGCAUGUCGCGGUGAAUACGUUCCCGGGUCUUGUACACACCGCCCGUCACACCAUGGGAGCGGGUUCUGCCAGAAGUAGUUAGCCUAACCGCAAGGAGGGCGAUUACCACGGCAGGGUUCGUGACUGGGGUGAAGUCGUAACAAGGUAGCCGUAUCGGAAGGUGCGGCUGGAUCACCUCCUUU
rnacentral:rRNA from 1 species